rnacentral:rRNA from 1 species
UAGGGAAUCUUCGGCAAUGGACGAAAGUCUGACCGAGCAACGCCGCGUGAGUGAAGAAGGUUUUCGGAUCGUAAAACUCUUUUGUUAGAGAAGAACAAGGACGUUAGUAACUGAACGUCCUCUGACGGUAUCUAACCAGAAAGCCACGGCUAACUACGUGCCAGCAGCCGCGGUAAUACGUAGGUGGCAAGCGUUGUCCGGAUUUAUUGGGCGUAACGCGAGCGCAGGCGGUUUCUUAAGUCUGAUGUGAAAGCCCCCGGCUCAACCGGGGAGGGUCAUUGGAAACUGGGAGACUUGAGUGCAGAAGAGGAGAGUGUAAUUCCAUGUGUAGCGGUGAUAUGCAUAGAUAUAUGAAGAUACACCAGUGGCGAAGGCGGCUCUCUGGUCUGUAACUGACGCUGAGGCUCGAAAGCGUGGGGAGCAAACAGA